UCUUGCCCACGAGAAACAUGGGAGUUUCACGGGGCAGCUAUGAACCGGCAGGGAAAUCUCUAGUAGCGAAUAAUAGUGCUUCUUUAUUGUUUUUUCUUGUCAGUUCAGUUCGGGGAAUAUUUCUGUCGGUUUGGUGUGUGUUGGACGAUUCAUAUUGGGUAUCAUUAUCACCAUAGCGAAGAAAAUACGUGCUGUCAGAAACGUGAUGAUUUUUGAGCUGAUUUUAUAGCUAUAUAAAGAAACAAGAAUCAACAAGUUGUUACAAACCAUUUGUCCAUCGUGAUAGCCACACCCAUGUCAGAGGAAAAGGUAGAGCUGACCCGAGUGGGCAGUUUGUGCAGUCCAGACCCACAAAUCCAGCUGCUAGAUGCCUGGACAUCCCGGGACUUCUCCACAUUCUGCAACCUCCUGGAGAAGCCAGGUGUGUCAGCUGACCACUGGUAUGAUGACCCCCAUCUUGCCACAUGCCUGUACCUGACCAGCAAGGAGGAGGAUGGGGCUGAGUAUGCUAGAGCUCUUCUUCAAGCUCGUGCUGAACCAAACAACAUGAACGGCAUACGUAUGAAAGCACCCAUCCACGUUGCAGCUGCAGCUGCAAAUGUCAAAGUGCUCGAGGUGCUUCUCUCACACCCACAAACAGAUGUUAACAUAAUGGACAACUGUGGGAAAUACUGCUUUACAUUUAAGUGCUAAACAGAAACUUAAGGAUGCAUCUAAAGACAUAGUAGAUAAGUACAAAGACUGUAUUCGGCUUCCCCUGAAUCAUAGUAAAAUCGACCCAAAUCUGGCUAAUAGGAAAGGUCAUAGUGCUGUCCAUUUUGGAGCUCUAAAUGAUGCUAAAGAGGUGGUGCAAACAAUUCUGGAGAUUCCUGUAGAUUGUAUUCACGUUGAUAAUGCUACAUGAGAUUGCCUGUGUAUUUUUCAGAUGUAAGUCUAAAUGUGCUGUAGGAAAUUCAGCACUUAACUGCAUCAGUGAGAUCGAGUGGAUGUCUAGAACAAGUUUUACAAUGCUGAUCUACCUCUGGAAAAUGUAAGAUUCAUCAGUGGUUCUGUGUGCAAAUGUUAAUCAACAAGAAAUUGUUGUUACUGAAAAGAGUACUUGUAUUUGUCAUGAAUCAUGUUGUCUGGUCGUUGCAAUUAGUUAUAUUGCAGUAUCAGACCCUCCAGAUUUUGGCAUGUGAUGUAAAACAAAACUUCAUAAUUUUCAGCUGUUAAUGUACCAAAGCAGUUAAUAGAUUCCAUGUUUGAAGGGCUUAAAGGUGCAAUAGCUGAAAGAAGAAAAUCACCAGAUACAUGCUGAAAAUCAAGACUGAAUACCCAGCAGGACGAGAAUUUUUUUCUCCUCCUGUGCUCAGACAAAUUGUGGGUCCUAAAGGUAAGGCAUUUAGAAUGUUAAAGUGACUUCUUACCUACUAUCUGGCACCAAGGUCAAGAAUGCACAUUCAUGGAGUGAUGAUCAGUAAUAGGAAUAACUUUCCCUUUACUGGAAAAAUAUUACAACCAACUUUACAAUAAAGUUUGUUACGGUUCCUAAAUAUAAUGUCAACGGUUUUUGUGUAUCAGAAGUAAAUUACUCCUUCCAGCUCCAUAAGUCUCUCAUUCAUGAACUGAAAACAACUGUUGAACGCUCUAGCAUACUGCCUCUGGAUUCUUUGUAUUUAUUGAAUUUUUAUCCCUUCUAUUUGACAUUCUUGAAAAUUAAUUAAAACUGAUAAAGCAUCUGAAUUCAAGGUCUAAAUAUUUAGUGAAAAUUUAGAAAUUAAUAUAUAUCAUUAUUUUAAAAUUUUACUGCUAUAUGAGCAGCAGAAUCUGCUAGAAUAUGUGAGAGUUACUUGCAAAAAGAUAAUAAGUUUACAAUUUUUUAAAUUUUGUGUUACACAACAAUAGAGCAGAUCAUAACAUACAAGGUAUGUCAGAAAGAAUUACUGGAUUGAUGGAGUUUUUCCAUCAUUCAGAAUUCUAGGUAAUAGAGGACACAGUGUUUUGGAAACUGGAUCUGUUUCCGUCUUCAGGUGAGAAACGAAGAUACCUACUCAGUUGGGCCCCUUAUAAAGAGCUAAUCUCAGUCACUCAAUCACUUUCUUUUGGCUGGCGGUAAGUAACGUCUUCUUCACUUACUCCGUCUCUGAAACGUUACCACGAUUGUUUAUGAUCCCUAUUGCCCUUUCCAGAAUCAAGAGUACAGGCUCUGCAUCCAUCCAGACAACAUCUGCUUCUCUCUUCCUCUUCCUGACACUUCUUCUGAUGGCUAGUAAAAAUAAUCCUUGACCCUUGAUUAGCAAGGACUCAUAUCUUAUUUUCUGGGACUUUGUCUGGAAAGAGACAUACUCUCUUGUUGAUGGAUUUAAAAGAGUUGCUACCUGUUGGUCAGAAACAGCACAUACAUUUAAGAGGCUCAAGAAAUGGAGAACUCAGUGGAGAGUUCAAGACACCAUGGAAUGCUUUCAAGUUCACAAGUUGAGGAUGUUUGCCUAUGAGGAGUUUAAUGAUGGCUGGGCAUCCACCAUAACAAGCAAGUAAGGCAGGAUGACGAGGUUCUACUGGACACAUAGCAUUGCGAUCAACUUUUCUGUCCAACAACGCCUUACCUUGCUUUUUCAGUCCAUUUUCUGAACAAUACUGAAGCAACGUAUGACUCCAAUUGUUCGCGUGGAAGCAUUUCAAUGGCAUCAGUGAAUUCACCAAGUUUCUGAUGAUACAAGUACUGAAACAGGGUGCUACUAUCUACAGUUUCUGUAUCCCCAUCUCUUCCAUGUUCUGGUAAAAAGUCAGCAAAUUCUGGGUAUUUCUUAUCUAUAAUGUCCCUGGCACUCUCAGAUAGCAUUCUCUUAUUAUCAACGUCAAUACAAUCUCCAGAAUGUUUGCGCCACCUCUUUAGCAUCAUUUAGAGCUCCAAAAUGGACAGCACUAUGACCUUUCCUGUUAGUCAGAUUUGGGUCGAUUUUACUAUGAUUCAGGGCAAGCCGAAUACAGUCUUUGUACUUAUUUACUAUGUCUUUAGAUGCAUCUUUAAGUUUCUGUUUAGCUAUUAAAUGUAAAGCUGUAUUCCCAAAGUUGUCCACUAUGUUAACAUCUGUUCGUGGGUGUGAGAGAAGCACCUUGAGCACUUCAACAUUUGCAGCUGCACAACACAACAAUACAGUUCUUUUAGUGCAUUUCAUCGUUAGUAAAUGCGAUGUCAGUCAUAUUGAUCGUACGUCCAACACUUGGCGAAUUCUGCUUUGCAGUACUAGGAAGAGCCGACAUCAAAGGAUCAGAAAGCGAUGUUGCUAUGAACGCGUGGCCGCCACAAGCCAGUUAUCCCUGUGGACACCUAUUGCUGGAAACUCUCGAAGCCAAAAGGAUUGAUAGGCCAUGCUUUCACAGUUGCUAUGCAUACUGAACAUCAGGAUCAAGCCAGCUUUUGUCCAUUCGCUCCAUGCGAGGUUUCUGUCCUGAGUGAGCUGGCCUUAGGACACCUGCAUUAUCCUUUGAAAUGUUCAUACAUGAACAUUCAUUUACAGUUUUUUUUUCUAAUAUAAAAUUUAACUUAUGCUUACAUUUUACUUAAGCAUUUGCGUCUUCUUGUACUUAAUCUUUCACCAUCACUUCAUAAAAUCUCAAAUCUGAACUGUAACUGUUCACCUUUAUUUAUUUAAUGUUCAGUUUGUCACCCCUUACAACCCUUAAUAUCACUGUGAGGUAAAGCGAAGUUGACACACAGGAUUACUGGGAUUUUGGACUUUUUCCAUUGUCCAGAAUUCUAGAUAAUAAAGAGGACAAAACGUUUUGAAAACUGGAUCUGUUUCCAUCUUCAGGUGAGAAAGGAAGACACCUACCCAGUUGGGCCCCUUAGAAAGAGCUAAUCUCAACCACUCAAUCAGUCCAUUUCCUUGAAUCAUCUAGUGUCCUCACAAUAAAACUAAAUAUUUCUUUUAAAAUGGUAAAAAAUAAUACUUAUUGCAGGAAACACCUGGUCUGCAUUAUUUAUUCAGUUCUUUAAACUGUUGUUGAGGGACUAAAUUCUUGAAGUGUAUUCAAAAUGCUUCUCAGCAUACCUUCCAUGCUGUCAGAUUUUAUCUCAUAUUCUUCUAGUUUCUUUAGAUUUAGGGUAAGGAAUGUCUUCUAUUUCCUCCAUCUCUGAAAUCUUACAGUUAUUUAUGAUGCAAAUGGUGAAGAGACCUAUGGGUUUGAAUUCCACCUUAGGUGCAAAUGCAACUCAUUCUGCUCGUCAUUUUAACCCCUAUAUGGCUUGGUCCUGUUGUCCAUGCAGACUUAAUGUCUAUAAUCCACGUCCAGUUUCAAAAUUUCAGCAUUUGAAUAAGCAGCAUGCAACUAUUCACAUGCUUAAUCCCGAUUAGGUCAUGAUAACGUUGAUAAUGUUGAAGGUAGUACAUAUUUGAAUACUAAUGUUAAAUAAUAUCAAUCUUUUUAAGAAGACAUUGCUUCAAUUUCUAUAUCUUCACUCAUUUUAUAGCAUUGAUGAAUUUUUUAAAUAUAAAAAAUAAUCUUCAUACUGAAUCCAAUUGAUAAAUCCACCUAUAUAAAUACUUCUGUUGUCUACCAUAAUUUUAAAUAUCUCUUAAAAUUUAUUACUCAUUUAUGCAGAUAUAAGCAUGUAAUAAGACCCCAUUUGAAUGUAUUUGUUAGGUUGUUAAUUUUGUGACACUUGUGUAUUAAGUAUGACAUGUAUAUUUUCAUGUUUAUCUGUAAGUUUGCAAUAAAAAUUUAAUUCUUUAAAUUUUAACUAUACAAAUAUGGUGUGUAUACAACUUAAACUUGUUUCUUAUUUAUGUUCUUAUAUUUUGAUAAAUUAGCUUAAUUCAUAUGAUUUCAUAUUAAGAUAUGAUUUUGGAGUUUCUUGUGAGGUUCUUAUUAUGACCAGUAUACGUUUUUAUUUUCAUGUUGUUGUUUUUAUUGACAAAUGUGUUUUACAUGUAUUAUAUUUGUAUUUUCUACUGUUGUAUUGUGACAGUCUGCUUGUUUGUAAAGCAAUGAUUUUUUAUCUGAUGGUUCCUAUAUCCAAUGGUUGUUCUCACAACAUUGUAAAGAUCUUAUGGAAUAUAAAUAAACCAGUAAUCAGUAACUUAA